rnacentral:miRNA from 1 species
UGGAUUAGUUCUCAUCGAUGCC